GGGCACAUGGUCUAGUGGUAUGAUACUCCCUUCGCAUAUUUCAAAGGUGAUUUGGGAGGGGUCCGGGGUUCAAUUCCCUGUGUGUCCA